CGCAAGCCUGACGGAGCAAUACCGCGUGAGGGAGGAAGGCUCUUGGGUUGUAAACCUCAAAAAUUAGGGAAGAAGAAAGUGACGGUACCUAAUGUAAGCAUCGGCUAACUCCGUGCCAGCAGCCGCGGUAAUACGGAGGAGGCAAGCGUUAUCCGGAAUUAUUGGGCGUAAAGCGUCCGCAGGUGGCGAUUCAAGUCUGCUGUCAAAGCACGGGGCUUAACUCCGUAAAGGCAGUGGAAACUGAAUAGCUAGAGUGCCGUAGGGGUAGAGGGAAUUCCCGGUGUAGCGGUGAAAUGCGUAGAGAUCGGGAAGAACAUCGGUGGCGAAAGCGCUCUACUGGACGGCAACUGACACUCAGGGACGAAAGCUAGGGGAGCG
rnacentral:rRNA from 1 species